rnacentral:rRNA from 1 species
AUUACUCAUCGAAGUGGAACGCUGAACUUCCAUCGCCAGCGGAUUAGUGGGGAACGGGUGAGUAUCAGGUGCGCAAGCUGCCCUGUACUCAGGCAGAAGCCGUGGAAUCGGGGUCAAAUACCGGAUACUGACCCGCUUGGGCAUCCAAGCGGUUCGAAAGCUCCGGCGGUGCAGGAAGAGCGGGCGGGCAAUACGCUGAUUGGCUAUGUAAUGGCACUCCAAGGCAGCGACGGGUAGCCGGCCUGAAGGGGCGACCGGGUACACUGGGCAUGCAGCACGGCCCAGACUCCUACGGGAGGCAGCAUGGGGGAAUAUCGUACUAAGGGCGAAAGCCUGAGCGAUAGUCACGGUACCUGCAGAAGGUUCGCCGGCUUUGUACGUGGCAGCAGCCCGGGUAAUACUGAGGGGUCGAGCGCUGUCCCCAAUUAUUGGGGGUAAAGAGGUCGUAGGCGCGUUGUCACGAUCGUUGAGAAAGCCCGGGGUCUAACCCCGGGUCUGCACUGGAUACGGGCAGGAGAGAGUUCGUGAGGGGAGAUCGGAAUUCCUGGUGUAGCGGUGAAAUGCGCAGAUAUCAGGAGGAACACCGGUGGCGAAGGCGGAUCUCUGGGCCGAUAUCGACGCUGAGGAGCGAAAUACCGCCCCCUGCCUGUAGUCCACGCGCUAAACGGUGGGCACACCGUGGGGACCUAACAGGAUUAGAAGGUGUGGGCGACAUUCCACGUCGUCCGUGCCGCAGCUAACGUACUAAGUGGGCCGCCUGGGAUGUACGGGAACAUCAAAGGAAUUGACGAGGGCAGGGGCCAAGCGGAUGUGGCUUAAUUGCGAACAAGAACCUUACGGCUUGACAUGACGACAUCCAACCCGGACGGAGCAAGCAUCAGAGAUGGCUAAAACCCUGCAGCGACGCCGCGUGGGGAAUGACGGGGUUCGCCUUGUAAACCUCAAUCAGCAGGGUUGAAGACGAGGGCGGAACACCGGUGGCGAAGCCCUGUACUCA